AACGAACGCUGGCGGCAGGCCUAACACAUGCAAGUCGAACGCUGUAGCAAUACAGAGUGGCAGACGGGUGAGUAACGCGUGGGAACAUGCCCUUUGGUUCGGAAUAACUCAGGGAAACUUGAGCUAAUACCGGAUACGCCCCAAGGAUUGGUCUCCUUGGGGGAAAGAUUUAUUGCCGAAGGAUUGGCCCGCGUCCGAUUAGCUAGUUGGUGGGGUAACGGCUCACCAAGGGGACGAUCGGUAGCUGGUCUGAGAGGAUGAUCAGCCACACUGGGACUGAGACACGGCCCAGACUCCUACGGGAGGCAGCAGUGGGGAAUAUUGGACAAUGGGCGCAAGCUUGAUCCAGCCAUGCCGCGUGAGUGAUGAAGGCCCUAGGGUUGUAAAGCUCUUUCGCCAGGGACGAUAAUGACGGUACCUGGAUAAGAAGCCCCGGCUAACUUCGUGCCAGCAGCCGCCGUAAUAC
rnacentral:rRNA from 1 species